GUAGCUUUCUCCAAUUGCAGAAUGUUUGUUGAAGAGUUUUCUUAAUUUCCUUAGAAUGUCAUGUACAUCCCCUAUUUAUUGUCACGACCCAGGGGUACCCCUUAGAUGUAACAUACGUAUAGAACCCCGAAGGACCCCAUACAAGCCACUUAGCUUUCAUCACAUAAGAAAUAGAACAAUAAGAGUAAAACAAUAGUCCAAGU
rnacentral:lncRNA from 1 species